UAUCAUUGCUAUAUAUAUUCACUAUUGCUACAUAUCAUUGCUAUAUAUCAUCACUAUACUUUAUUGCUAUAUAUCAUCGUUGCUAUUGCUACAUAUCAUUGCCAGCUAUCAUUGCUAUAUAUCAUCGCUACAUAUCAUUGCUAUAUAUCAUUGCUAUAUAUCAUUGCCAGCUAUCAUCGCUACAUAUCAUCGCUAUAUAUCAUCGCUAGCUAUCAUUGCUAUAUAUCAUUGCCAGCUAUCAUCACUAUAUUAUCAUCACUAUAUAUCAUCACUACAUAUCAUUGCUAGCUAUCAUUGCUAUAUAUAAUUGCCAGCUAUCAUUGCUAUAUAUCAUUGCUAGCUAUCAUUCAUUCAAACAGAUGAGCAGAUAAAUAGACAGAUAGACAGCCAGAUAACCAUUUAAUAAAUCAGUAUUAUCAGAUAGAUAAAUAGCUAGAUGAUGAUGUUUAUUCUUAUAG
rnacentral:sRNA from 1 species